CCUACGGGUGGCAGCAGUGGGGAAUAUUGGGCAAUGGGCGCAAGCCUGACCCAGCAACGCCGCGUGAAGGAAGAAGGCUUUCGGGUUGUAAACUUCUUUUCUCAGGGACGAAGCAAGUGACGUUACCUGAGGAAUAAGCCACGGCUAACUACGGGCCAGCAGCCGCGGUAAUACGUAGGUGGCAAGCGUUAUCCGGAUUUACUGGUGUUAAAGGGCGAGUAGGCGGGCCAGCAAGUCAGAUGUGAAAACCAUGGGCUCAACCUAUUGCCUGCAUUUGAAACUGUAGUGCUUGAGUACUGGAGAGGCAGACGGAAUUCCUAGUGUAGCGGUGAAAUGCGUAGAUAUUAGGAGGAACACCAGUGGCGAAGGCGGUCUGCUGGACAGCAACUGACGCUGAGGCGCGAAAGCGUGGGGAGCAAACAGGAUUAGAUACCCGUGUAGUC
rnacentral:rRNA from 1 species